rnacentral:lncRNA from 1 species
UGACAUAUCAGGUAGUAGCAAACCUAGAAGAUAUCAAAAAGACAAUCAUCUAAUCAUACAACUCCUCUUCUUUCCCUUUCCUUGUCCAAUGGCCAAGACAGGAGCAGCGGGCGGAUUGGGAGUUGGUGCAAUAGACUUGUCCUUGAAGUUGCUCUCAACGACCCUCAAGAGACCUUGGAGUUUGCUUAGGGUGACCUCCUCUUUGUUCAUGUGGUAGGUCCUCCUAAAUUGAUUGUAGCUUGGAGGCAAAGAGUGAAGCACCAUGUCGAUCGCCAAGUCUUCCCCAAAGUCAACAUUCAACUUGCGAAGACGGUCGACAUACCUUUGCAUCUUUUGCAGGUGCACGGUAAGAGACUCUCCAUGACCCAUCUUAGCGGAAAUCAUGUUAGUGAAAAUCUCAUAACGCUCUUGUCUCGCGUUUUGAUGGUAUCUCUCCAAUAAGUCUUGAUGCAUCUUGUACGGGUACAUGUCCUCAUAGGAUUUUUGGUAUUCGGAGUUCAUAGUGGCGAUCAUGAUGCAAUGACCUUCGUUGCAUCACGCUCGUGAGUUUCGAAAGCGGUCAUUUCAGCCGGAGUAGCGAUUUCUGGAUUGAUGUUCUCGAGCUUCUCAUCGAGGACAUACUCCUUAUCCUCAUUGAGAGCAAUCGUGCGAAUGUAUCUUAUCCAUUUGCUAAAGUUCGUCCCAUCGAAAGUGACCUUUUGACAAAGGCUCAUCAAUGUGAAAGAACUAGCAGCAGCGUUGUUUGCGUUCGACAUCUACAAAUAGAAAGGACAAAGAUAGAUUAGAAUAUGAAUCCCUAAUUAUCACCCAAUAAGAAAAAUUAGGGCUAGGAUCCAACAACAAUAUUUACACAUUAGAAAAGGGAUGCCGUAAUAUAAUAUGCAAACAAUUUGAAGGUAAGUGAAUGACGAUUCACUAAUUCUCCACCAUAAAAGCAUAACUUUAAGACCUAAAUGUAUUGAGAAUUCCUAGGUUCGGAUGAGAUUCAUUGAAACUAUUCAAUGGCAUGUUUAAAUCUCGAUAUGCCCCUCUUGUUUGUGACUGGGAUACCGAGGAUCACAAAGCGGGUGUGAAUUACCAUGCAAAUUCACAUGGUGCCUUCAUUGUAACGAUCACCUAUUCGAUGUGCCAGUAAACCACACACGCUCCAUCGAACUAUGAUAAACAAUGAAUCACCCUUUGCCACCUUUGCUUAGAACCAAUUAGUGUGCCGGUAAACCACACACGCUCCACUAACUUCUUAGCAAGGGUGCAAAGUGUAAUUUCAUGGGAUUGCAUCAAUUCACUUUUCCUAAAGUAACUAAGAUUGGGAAAUUUUAAAAACAUGUAGUUACUUUGUAUUUCAUAUUAUACUUUUAAUGAGAGGAUGAGGUUGCCCUAUCCUACCCGUUCGGCUAACGACCCUCCACCGAUCAAGCAAGCGGUGGGUGUGAGUGUACACCCAUUAAGCGCCAUUUUAUAGGCCGCAACCUUAUACCCACCUUAUAGAUCGGCUUCGUGAAUGAGGCCUACUAACGGUAAGACUAGCAUUUAAGUAUACAUAUAUAUAUUAUUCUAGUAAUAUCAUAUUAGUAUAGGGUUGUAUUUUAAAACUUUUAAAAUCUAGGGUUUGAAAUUUAAGUUUUCUAAAUUAAAACUUUUAAUCACAAAACAUAAAUUUCAAAACUUGAGGACAAGUUUUAAAACAUUUAAAACAUGGAGGAUCAAAUAACAAAUAAUUUUAAUUAACAAUUAAUUCCAUAAUUAUCCAUAUUUGAUUUAUUCAAGAUUUCUUGCAAGAUAAUUACCAAUUUAAUCAAAAUAAUUAGUUAAUUAUCAUAUAAAGAAAUUAAAUAUUUUAUUAGUUGAUAAAUAUCUUUAAUUAGAUCAAGAUUAUAGUCAUAUAUAUCAAGAAAACGGAUUAGGGUUGAUCUAAUAUGAUUAAGGUAAGUUUCCAUAAGAUAAUCAUCAAAAAAUCCCGAAUCUGGCCUUUCCUGACGCUUGGACUCGCCGAGUGCACCAAGGGACUCGCCGAGUCAAGCCAACUCGCCGAGUCCACAAUGGCACUCACCGAGUCCAUGACCCAGAAACAUGAAAAUCGAAUUUUGCAGUUAAGAAUCAAAUAAGCAAGAAACAAUUUAAUAGAAACCAAGCUAGGCUCUGAUACCACUGAUGGGUUUUAGCCAUANAUUCCUAUGUGCACAUGCAAACCCUAAUGCUUGGAUCUAGGUUUCUCUAAUUAAACAUGCUUUCAAUCCAAGACUUCUAAUGACUAAUUAGGUAUAAGAACAAUACAAAAUCAGAUCUAGAAGUUUACCUUUGAAUCUGUUGUUUGAUCUUGUUGUCUUGGAGCUCUAGAGUCACAAGUGUCACUCCUCUAAUGGCUUACAAACACCAAGUAGCAAAGAGGAUGAUUUGAGAGAGAGGUUAGGGAUGAAAUUCGGCCAUGGUUUCUUCUCCUUAGAAGAUAUGUCGAUUUGCCUAUCCCAAGGGGUCUAUUUAUACUUGUAGGGCUCCUAGAGUUUCAUUCAAAAACCCUAGCUAGAUAACUAUUACUCAAAGUGAUCCAAAUCCUUACCUUAGAUAGCCUUGGACGAAUUUGAGGCUUAUCCUAGCCCUAGAAAUCGUCCAAACCAUAUCCCUUAAGGAUUUAUACCCCAAUGUGUAACUAUCAAACAAUUGACAGUUUAUACCCUCUUAUUUAAUUAAUCUCUUUAAGUCACCAAAUUAAUACUAANUAUUCUAAUUAAUUCUAUGACUUAUAUUAAUCAAAUAACAAAUAUAUUAUUCAUUAUAUUAUUCUCAUAAUAUAUUAAUAAUAUUUAUUCUCUCAUAAUAAAUCAUCCUGUCAAGUUGCUAUGGUGAAGGCAACCCAAAAGGACCAUGCACAAUCGGGUCAAAUACUUGCCUAAUAUAGUUGCAGCCUUUGACACUAUUCCAACAGUCUCCCACUUGGAUAAGUCUAGUAACUAUACAAGUACAAUUCGGUUUGCAAUCGUAGCUCUCAAAGACGCUGUCAACUCUGAUCUAAUCAAUCUUGUCCUUUAGAUAAGGGAACGUACAGUCCUCUGUUAGAUAUCAUGCUGACAAUCCUAUGGAAUGGUUAGUCAAGCAUUUAGGUUUCUCGAUCUCUGAUUUAUUUGACAUAGAACUUAAUCGAACACAUCAAUUCAGUUCUGACCGGGCCCGGCACAUAAGUCAAAUCAAAUCAUCGAGCGGCCGAGAUAUCGCUUUUACCUUCUUAGAUAAAAGUUACAGAUAAACUUCGACUUAUAUGCAUUUACUUAUUCAUUUACCAACUAUACACAACAAUACGUUUUAUAACACCAAGUUACUGAUGCGUUUUCGUAUUAUCAAUGUACAAUCAAUUAACAAAUAAUAAACCAUAUAUCUAGGUUUUAAGACUAUAUGAUAUUAUCGUCUUGCGAUCACCUUUUAUAUCGUAUUCCAUAAGGUGAUUCCAGCAAGCGCGGGUUUAUUCCAAUGCUCAAAACUAGUUCAUAAGCACUCAUGAACGUUGCAGCAAUCCUUUGCUAUGUCUAACACCAUUUAGACAUUCUACACACCAAUUCAUGACAAUCUUCAUUCAUAUCUACUCCCAACAUAUGAACGAUUGUGGACCAUUUGAACAAUUCGAUUAUUCCUAAUAAACUCAAUUAUUCUGGAAGUCAAAACAUGCAAAGUGAAACAAUAGCUAAACAAUUAACAUAAGAUAGUAACAUUACUCAUAAAUAAAACUCCUUUAUUUAAUCAUCAAAUGUUAAUUACAUUUAUCUAUUACACGUUUCUAAUACUAUCUAAUCUAUGCUAAUAUCAUCCUUCAGCCCAAUACUCCUAGCAUGCUGCAAGUGCUUAACCCUACUCAGUCCCUUCGUAAGCGGAUCUGCUGGGUUAUCUUCUGAUGAUAUCCUCUUCACUACGAGUUGUCCUUCUUCUACACGAUGUCUAAUGAAGUGAUACUUUCUGUCGAUAUGUCUUGAUCUACCAUGAUCCCUCGGUUCCUUGGUUAAGGCAACCGCACCUUCGUUAUCACAGAAAAUCUCCAUUGGCUCCUUUAUGGCAGGUACAACUCCAAGAUCACCGAUGAAGUUCUUUAGCCAUAUUGCCUCCUUCGACGCUUCGCUCGCUGCAAUGUACUCUGAUUCGCACGUUGAAUCAGCUACGGUUUCCUGCUUGGAACUCUUCCAUGUCACUGCUCCUCCAUUUAGGGUAAAGACCCAGCCCGACUGCGAACGGUAGUUGUCCCUGUCGGUCUGAAAACUGGCGUCACUAUACCCUCGCACCUUCAAGUCAUCACUCCCUCCGAGGACUAAGAACCAUUCCUUCGUCCUCCGAAGGUACUUAAGGAUAUUCUUCACCGCAAUCCAAUGUGCUUUGCCAGGAUUCCCUUGAUAUCUGCUAACCAUGCUCAAAGCGAAGGCUACAUCAGGGCGAGUACAAGUCAUAGCGUACAUGAUUGAGCCAACUGCGGAAGCGUAUGGUACUCGGCUCAUUUCUGCUAUCUCAGCUUCGGUACUCGGACUUUGAGUCUUACUCAAUUUGGCAUUACUUUGUAUCGGUAGUUCUCCCUUCUUUGAGUUUUCCAUACUAAAACGUUUUAGUACCUUCUCUAAGUAAGUAUUCUGACUAAGUCCAAUUAGUCUCUUACUUCUUUCUCUUACUAUCCUUAUUCCCAAAAUGUAAGAAGCCUCUCCGAGGUCCUUCAUAGCGAAGCACUUCCCGAGCCAGGACUUAACCUCCUGCAGAGUCGGGAUGUCGUUUCCUAUGAGUAAUAUGUCAUCGACAUAUAGAACGAGGAAGCUUACUAUACUCCCACUGGCUUUGACAUAUACACAAGAUUCGUCUUCGCUUCGUACAAAUCCAAACUCUUUGACUUUCUCAUCGAAGCAAAGAUUCCAUCUGCGAGACGCUUGCUUAAGUCCAUAAAUGGACUUCUCAAGCUUACACACUCUAUUCGGAUGCUUCGGAUCCACAAACCCCUCUGGCUGAGCCAUGUAAACAUCCUCAGCCAACUUUCCGUUAAGGAAAGCGGUCUUGACAUCCAUUUGCCAAAUCUCAUAAUCAUGAAAUGCGGCAAUAGCUAGCAUCACUCUAAUAGAUUUUAUCUUCGCAACUGGUGAGAAGGUCUCAUCAUAGUCAACUCCGGGAGUUUGAGUAAAGCCCUUCGCAACCAAUCGCGCUUUAUAUGUGUGUACGUUUCCAUCCACGUCGGUCUUCUUCUUGAAGAUCCAUUUGCACCCAACGGUCUUACGUCCGGGCACAUUAUCAACCAAAUUCCAAACUUGGUUGUCAUACAUGGAUUGGAUCUCGCUGUCCAUUGCCUCUUUCCAUUUCGCAGACUCCGGGCCUGCCAUGGCUUCCUUAUAGCUAUUAGGUUCAUCAAGAUUUAUUAGUGUACCAUCACUAAUAUACGUGUCCCCUUCGGUAGUAAUAUGAAAACCAUAAAACUGGGGUUGAACUCUAACUCUAUCGGAACGUCUAAGAGGUAAGGAUUCGUCAAUCGGUUCAACCGGAGUUUCCUCCUCGGGUUGAGUGCCAGCGGUAGAGGUUCCUUCAUCUAUCGACUCUUGAAUCUCUUCAAGCUCGAUUUGCCUCCCACUGUCUCCUUGGCUUAUGAGUUCUCGCUCUCGGAAAACUCCUCUCCUCGCAACGAAGACAACAUUGUCCUUCGGUCUAUAGAAGAGAUAUCCAAAGGAUUUCUGCGGGUAGCCGAUGAAAAUACAUUACUCACUACGAGGUUCGAGCUUGUCGUGAGUAUCUCGUCUUACGAAAGCCUCGCAACCCUAAACCUUGAUAUGUGCCAACGAGGGAGCUUUCCAUGUCCACAUCUCGUGAGGUGUUUUGGCAACCUUCUUAGUAGGCACUCGGUUAAGGAUAUGGGUGGCAGUCUCUAAGGCAUACCCCCAAAAAGAGAUUGAUAGUGAAGCACGACUCAUCAUAGAGCGAACCAUUUGCCAACUUCCCAUUAAGGAAACUGCAGACGUCCUCGUCGAACACAUCGACCCGUGCCCUGGCUCUGAUACCAUUUGUAACACCCCCUCUGAUGAGUCGUGCUUAGUUCUCCUUCCCAUGAUUAGAUUUAUCCUUCCAUGCUCCACGUCUCUAUUUCUUCUUAAUCCCUGCACAUUAGAACAAAUGUGGUAACCACAACCGGUAUCAAGAACCCAAGAAAUAUCGUGAGAUGAAUCGUUAGAUAUAAUUGUGUAUAUACCUGCGAAAUACGGCUUGAUCUUUCCUUCCUUGAUGGCUUGCAAGUACUCUGGGCAGCUUCUCUUCCAAUGUCCUAUCUUGUGGCAGUGGUGGCACUCUGCCUCCUUUGGGUUAGGGCAGGGCUUAGCAGGAUCAACUUUGGUCCCACUAGAAGAGGCACCAUCUCGGGCUUUAACCUUGCGAUAGUUCUUAGACGAAGCCUUCCUCUUCUUUCCCUUUCCUUGUCCAAUAGCCAAGACAGGAGCAGCGGGUGGAUUGGGAGUUGGUGCAACAGAAUUGUCCUUGAAGUUGCUCUCAGCGACCCUCAAGAGACCUUGGAGUUUGCUUAGGGUGACCUCCUCUUUGUUCAUGUGGUAGGUCAUCCUAAAUUGAUUGUAGCUUGGAGGCAAAGAGUGAAGCACCAUGUCGAUCGCCAAGUCUUCCCCAAAGUCAACAUUCAACUUGCGAAGACGGUCGACAUACCUUUGCAUCUUUUGCAGGUGCACGGUAAAAGACUCUCCAUGACCCAUCUUAGCAGAAAUCAUGUUAGUGAAAAUCUCAUAACGCUCUUGUCUCGCGUUUUGAUGGUAUCUCUCCAAUAAGUCUUGAUGCAUCUCGUACGCGUACAUAUCCUCAUAGGAUUUUUGGAAUUCGGAGUUCAUAGUGGCGAUCAUGAUGCAAUGUAGCUUCGUUGCAUCACGCUCGUGAGUUUUGAAAGUGUUCAUUUCAGCCGGAGUAGCAAUUUCUGGAUUGAUCUUCUCGAGCUUCUCAUCGAGGACAUACUCCUUAUCCUCAUAGCGAGCAAUCGUGCGAAUGUAUCUUAUCCAUUCACUAAAGUUCGUCCCAUCGAAAGUGACCUUUUGACAAAGGCUCAUCAAUGUGAAAGAACUAGCAGCAGCGUUGUUUGCGUUCGACAUCUACAAAUAGAAAGGACAAAGAUAGAUUAGAAUAUGAAUCCCUAAUUAUCACCCAAUAAGAAAAAUUAGGGCUAGGAUCCAACAACAAUAUUUACAUAUUAGANAUAUAUAUAUUAAUCUUGUAAUAUUAUACUAGUAUAGGGUUGUAUUUUAAACUUUUAAAAUCUAGGGUUUGAAAUUUAAAUUUUCUAAAUUAAAACUUUUAAUCACAAAACAUAAAUUUCAAAACUUGAGGACAAGUUUUAAAACAUUUAAAACAUGGAGGAUCAAAUAACAAAUAAUUUUAAUUAACAAUUAAUUCCAUAAUUAUCCAUAUUUGAUUUAUUCAAGAUUUCUUGCAAGAUAAUUACCAAUUUAAUCAAAAUAAUUAGUUAAUUAUCAUAUAAGGAAAUUAAAUAUUUUAUUAGUUGAUAAAUAUCUUUAAUUAGAUCAAGAUUAUAGUCAUAUAUAUCAAGAAAACGGAUUAGGGUUGAUCUAAUAUGAUUAAGGUAAGUUUCCAUAAGAUAAUCAUCAAAAAAUCCCGAAUCUGGCCUUUC